UGGCGAACGGGUGAGUAACACGUGGGUAACCUGCCCAUCAGAAGGGGAUAACACUUGGAAACAGGUGCUAAUACCGUAUAACACUAUUUUCCGCAUGGAAGAAAGUUGAAAGGCGCUUUGCGUCACUGAUGGAUGGACCCGCGGUGCAUUAGCUAGUUGGUGAGGUAACGGCUCACCAAGGCAACGAUGCAUAGCCGACCUGAGAGGGUGAUCGGCCACACUGGGACUGAGACACGGCCCAGACUCUACGGGAGGCAGCAGUAGGGAAUCUUCGGCAAUGGACCGAAAAGUCUGACCGAGCAAACGCCGCGGUGAAGUGAAAGAAAGGUUUUUCG
rnacentral:rRNA from 1 species